GUUAGCUACAGGCUUAACACAUGCAAGUCGAGGGGCAGCAUGGUCUUAGCUUGCUAAGGCCGAUGGCGACCGGCGCACGGGUGAGUAACACGUAUCCAACCUGCCGUCUACUCUUGGACAGCCUUCUGAAAGGAAGAUUAAUACAAGAUGGCAUCAUGAGUCCGCAUGUUCACAUGAUUAAAGGUAUUCCGGUAGACGAUGGGGAUGCGUUCCAUUAGAUAGUAGGCGGGGUAACGGCCCACCUAGUCUUCGAUGGAUAGGGGUUCUGAGAGGAAGGUCCCCCACAUUGGAACUGAGACACGGUCCAAACUCCUACGGGAGGCAGCAGUGAGGAAUAUUGGUCAAUGGGCGAGAGCCUGAACCAGCCAAGUAGCGUGAAGGAUGACUGCCCUAUGGGUUGUAAACUUCUUUUAUAAAGGAAUAAAGUCGGGUAUGGAUACCCGUUUGCAUGUACUUUAUGAAUAAGGAUCGGCUAACUCCGUGCCAGCAGCCGCGGUAAUACGGAGGAUCCGAGCGUUAUCCGGAUUUAUUGGGUUUAAAGGGAGCGUAGAUGGAUGUUUAAGUCAGUUGUGAAAGUUUGCGGCUCAACCGUAAAAUUGCAGUUGAUACUGGAUAUCUUGAGUGCAGUUGAGGCAGGCGGAAUUCGUGGUGUAGCGGUGAAAUGCUUAGAUAUCACGAAGAACUCCGAUUGCGAAGGCAGCCUGCUAAGCUGCAACUGACAUUGAGGCUCGAAAGUGUGGGUAUCAAACAGGAUUAGAUACCCUGGUAGUCCACACGGUAAACGAUGAAUACUCGCUGUUUGCGAUAUACAGCAAGCGGCCAAGCGAAAGCGUUAAGUAUUCCACCUGGGGAGUACGCCGGCAACGGUGAAACUCAAAGGAAUUGACGGGGGCCCGCACAAGCGGAGGAACAUGUGGUUUAAUUCGAUGAUACGCGAGGAACCUUACCCGGGCUUAAAUUGCAGAUGAAUUACGGUGAAGGCCGUAAGCCGCAAGGCAUCUGUGAAGGUGCUGCAUGGUUGUCGUCAGCUCGUGCCGUGAGGUGUCGGCUUAAGUGCCAUAACGAGCGCAACCCUUGUUGUCAGUUACUAACAGGUUCCGCUGAGGACUCUGACAAGACUGCCAUCGUAAGAUGUGAGGAAGGUGGGGAUGACGUCAAAUCAGCACGGCCCUUACGUCCGGGGCUACACACGUGUUACAAUGGGGGGGUACAGAGGGCCGCUACCACGCGAGUGGAUGCCAAUCCCAAAAACCUCUCUCAGUUCGGACUGGAGUCUGCAACCCGACUCCACGAAGCUGGAUUCGCUAGUAAUCGCGCAUCAGCCACGGCGCGGUGAAUACGUUCCCGGGCCUUGUACACACCGCCCGUCAAGCCAUGGGAGCCGGGGGUACCUGAAGUGCGUAACCGCGAGGAGCGCCCUAGGGUAAAACUGGUGACUGGGGCUA
rnacentral:rRNA from 1 species